rnacentral:misc_RNA from 1 species
AGAGGAAUUAUCUAAAUCGACCGGCAUGAGUACUAGAAAUCGAAAAUAAAACUACUUACGCACUAGUAACGACAAUUGUAGAUCAAAAACUAGUGGACAAAAUAGAGGAAAAGGGUGAAAAAAAUCAAGAUCAUUUAUCUCAGAAUUUAAAAAAGGAAGCUACUGGACAAAAAGAAUUUCAUCUUGGAAUUUCAAUGAAGCUUUUGGAGACAAAGUUCCUCUUUUCUUCUAGGGUUUCGUUUUAACUCUCUCUCUCUCUCUCUCUCUCUCU